rnacentral:lncRNA from 1 species
UCAAAAUGGCAAGUUCUACAGAGUGCCCCAUUGCAACUGCUCCUCAUUAAACUCCCUUCAGAGUCAAGAAUGUGUUCACUCUCCUCUUCCUCUUUAUAUACUCACCACCGCCAUCGCCAGCACCUUCACCUUCAUCAUUGUCUCUCUCAUUUAUGGAGCACUGUGCUAAGCCAUUUUUAUGCAUGAUCUUCUCCUCACAACAACCCUGUGAGAUAGAUACCCUUAUUUCCCCCCAUUUCCAAUGGGUAAACUGAGGCUGCAGGAAAUUGAGCCAAUAAAUGGUAGAGCCAGAAUUCCAGUUCAGACCAAAUGUGACUCCAGUACACUAUGCAAUGUAGAUGCCUAUCCAAUGUCUUCUUGGAUGCUUCCAAUGACGAGGUGCUCAGUAACUCCUGAGCUUCCCGUUGCACUGUUGGACAGAUUGCAAGCUUUCCUCCCCAGGUCUCUGACAUUCUGCCUGUCGUUACACAGAAUGCAUCCUGUCACACCAUGGCAGCAUGUUUGAUUGAGGCAGGGCCCUAGUUAAUGCUUUGCAGUCAAGCAGGGAUACUGGGCUGGUGUAAUGUAAAAUGCUGACCUGGGGAAAUGGCAUUUCACUGAACUCACUGAGGCUUGAAAUGGGUGUGCUGUGAACUGUACGGCCUUGCCCUCCUGAAGAGAGGGCCCCGAGGGAUAGCUGGAAGGCCUGGCAGAGUGCCUCUCCUCCCUCUCAGCAUGCCAUGGCCUUCUAGGGGGCUUCCAGUUCCAUGCUGAGGCUAUACUUCCCUCUCAGGGAGAGCUGGUUGCUCCCGCAUGCUGUUUGUAGUGUUUUACAUCUACCUCUGCAAACCUGCUGGGCGUUCUGGCUGGAUGAUGCUGUUCACAUUCCGAAUGCUUGUGUUUACCCACCUCCUCACUGAACAAAUUUACAAAGUCAACAUUUUGGGACAUCUCAGAGAUUUAAAAAAAAAAUGGCAACACAAAACUAACACAACUAUGUUGUCCUCUCCCACCCCCUUGUUUCUAACACAUCAUAGAGUGGAAUUAACAAGAUUCUAGUCCUUGGCACUGGAUCAAUUCUGGAUGCCAUCUCCACCCAGUCUCCAUCCCGUCUUUCCCCUAACUCUUACUGUUCUGAUAAGUGAUGGUAAACAGAAAACAGGCC